GCUGGCGGCAGGCCUAACACAUGCAAGUCGAACGGAGUUAUAUUGUAGCUUGCUAUGGUAUAACUUAGUGGCAGACGGGUGAGUAAUGUAUAGGAAUCUACCUAGUAGUACGGAAUAAUUGUUGGAAACGGCAACUAAUACCGUAUACGCCCUACGGGGGAAAAAUUUAUUGCUAUUAGAUGAGCCUAUAUUAGAUUAGCUAGUUGGUGGAGUAAUAGCCUACCAAGGCAAUGAUCUAUAGCUGAUCUGAGAGGAUGAUCAGCCACACUGGAACUGAGAUACGGUCCAGACUCCUACGGGAGGCAGCAGUGGGGAAUAUUGGACAAUGGGCGAAAGCCUGAUCCAGCCAUGCCGCAUGAGUGAAGAAGGCCUUUGGGUUGUAAAGCUCUUUUAGUGAGGAAGAUAAUGACGGUACUCACAGAAGAAGUCCUGGCUAACUCCGUGCCAGCAGCCGCGGUAAUACGGAGAGGGCUAGCGUUAUUCGGAAUUAUUGGGCGUAAAGGGCGCGUAGGCGGAUUAGUAAGUUAAAAGUGAAAUCCCAAGGCUCAACCUUGGAAUUGCUUUUAAAACUGCUAAUCUAGAGAUUGAAAGAGGAUAGAGGAAUUCCUAGUGUAGAGGUGAAAUUCGUAAAUAUUAGGAGGAACACCAGUGGCGAAGGCGUCUAUCUGGUUCAAAUCUGACGCUGAGGCGCGAAGGCGUGGGGAGCAAACAGGAUUAGAUACCCUGGUAGUCCACGCUGUAAACGAUGAAUGUUAAAUAUGGGAAGUUUUACUUUCUGUAUUACAGCUAGCGCGUUAAACAUUCCGCCUGGGGACUACGGUCGCAAGAU
rnacentral:rRNA from 1 species